rnacentral:lncRNA from 1 species
UCCACGACAUUCGUUAUGUUCCCUCCCGUUGUCGUUUGGUUUUGUCCUUGGGACCCUCCACCUGUAAGCAAAAAACCUUACAACAUGUGUAAAUGCCCGCGCUUUAAUCAUACACAUUUCAUGUUCCAAUCAAGGGAGCUAAUGUGCAUGAUAAGGGUGCGCUGAGUAGAAGGAGGGUGUUGCGGUGGUGGUAAUGUGACCGGGGGUUGGCUUGGCAGCGGGAGGAGUUGAUGAAGAAGCGUUGAGGAUGGGUGCAUUGAAGAAGUGCAAAUAAUGGUGGAAGAAAGAGAAAAAUAUGGAAAUAGUUAAUGGUGAGAGAAAUAGAAAGAGAGAGAGAAAAGUGUCAGAAAAUGCAGAAGAGAGAGAUGAAAAGUACAGUCAAGUUAACGUCUUUUUGACCUACUUAAUGGAAGAGACCUAAUAACAACAAAAUUAAUAACCUGGGGACCAAAUAACAUCAUUUUUAAAAACGCAAAACAAAAAUUCAACUCCGAAACUUGAGGACUAAAAAGGUAACUAAACCUUAAUAGAGAAUUAUGAAUAAAGUUAUUAUUGAACGAAAACAUUUUAUAUUUACAAGUUAGAAUUUAUUAUAUAAAUCC